GUGGGGAAUAUUGGACAAUGGGGGCAACCCUGAUCCAGCCAUGCCGCGUGAGUGAUGAAGGCCUUCGGGUUGUAAAGCUCUUUUUGGGCGGGGGACGAUGAUGACGGUACCCGCAGAAUAAGCCCCGGCUAACUUCGUGCCAGCAGCCGCGGUAAGACGAAGGGGGGCUAGCGUUGUUCGGAAUUACUGGGCGUAAAGCGAGUGUAGGCGGUUGCCGUAGUCAGGUGUGAAAGCCUUGAGCUCAACUCAAGAAAUGCACUUGAUACUGGGUGACUAGAGGACCGGAGAGGAUAGUGGAAUUCCCCAGUGUAGUGGUGAAAUACGUAGAGAUUGGGAAGAACACCAGUGGCGAAGGCGGCUAUCUGGACGGUUACUGACGCUAAGACUCGAAAGCGUGGGGAGCAAAACAGGAUUAGAUACCCCUGGUAGUCCACGCCGUAAACGAUGGGUGCUAGACGUUGGCGAGCUUGCUCGUCAGUGUCGCAGCUAACGCGUUAAGCA
rnacentral:rRNA from 1 species